CUCAUUUAAAACUAAGAUAAUUCCGGUUUUUACAUUGACAAAUAAUAACCACGAAUAAAUGCCGCCUCUAUACCAAGGCACGAAGGGAUUCCCUGUGUAUAAAAAGCAGCCGAAACUUCAUUAAGUCAUUCCCGACUGCCUUCGAAACAGAAAAAUCAAAUUUGAUAAACUCGUUCUGGAUCCGCUUUAAAAACAGGAUGGUCACAUUUAAAAUACUUCUGAUCAUUGACAAUGGGGUCGAUUUCUAGGCCUCCUUUGUAUAUUUUUGCUAUUGUUUUUAUAUUGCGUAGAAGAGUAAAAGACAGAAUGGAACCUGGCAAUGUUUGAACACAGAAAGUAAACGGACGAACUGAAAUAGAAUAAAGUUGUUUGUCCACUGUUCCACCCAUUCUGUUAUUCACUCUCGAUUGCCGUAAUAUAAAAAAUCAAUAAGGUGAUUGAUAUUAUUUUGGUUAGUGGAGGCACAUGACCUAGUGGUUAGAGCAGCGGACUCGCGGUCGAGGGAUCGCGGGUGCGAAUCUCAGACCGGGUGAUCUGUGUGUUUAUGAGCGAAACACCUAAGCUCCACGCGGCUCCUGCAGAAGGUAAUGGCGAAACUUCUGCUGACUCUUUCGCCACAACUUUCUCUCACUCUUUCCUCCUGUAUCUUGAAGCUCACCUGCGAUGGACCGGCGUCCCGUCCAGGUGGGGAACCUAUACGCCAAGAAACCGGGAAACCGGCCGUUAUGAGCCGGGCAUGGCUCGAGGAAGAACAGACAAAACAUUAUUUUUGUUGAAAAGUAACUUCCCUAAUUAAUUCUUCACAUUUGCUCAGAUGAUGAUACAGCAAAUAAUUAAUAGAAUACUUAUUUCAAAUGAAUUUUUAAAAAAACUACAAUGUUUACAAAACCGGAAAAAGAGGGAUGAUUACGUGGAUUCGAUUGAGAUUGAAAACUUUCAGCUAAAAGAGAAAUAUGCAAAACUCAUAAAACAAUGAUGCUUUAAAAGAUGGAUAACCCCUGGAGCCCAAAACAGAAACUCCUCAGAUCUAAAAUUUCACUAAUAACCAAUAGCACUUAGAAUAUUACCCAUUUGUAAUCUCUGGUUUAUCAUUCUUACUACAUUUCCGUUUCUUGCAUCGAGCAAUUUAUGACAAAAUAUUGUCCUUAUUGAAACCAAGCUUACAAACAUGUAGCGUGCUCUGGUGUUUCAGUAUUUUAAGAGAGAUGAUCCUUUCGAAAUAAACCUUUGCUGUAUUAGGUGUUUGCGUUUGGAAUCGGAGACGAACAUUCUUGAACUAAUUAUCUUUGAAAUCCCUCCCAACUUCGCCUGAGCAAACAUUUACAUCAGUUCAAAUGCGGUUCGAGGCAUAUUUGAUUUGUACGAAGGCCAUAGUCAUUGUUCAUUGGCUGUUGAAAAUAUUCCUCGUUUUAGACAAUAGCUGUUGGCAUUCACCAAAAGUCCUUUCAAGGCGCCCUCUAGCGGAAACGGUAAACAUAUUUCUUCCUUCUUGAUUAUUGUUGUAUCACUGCUUUCGUAGUAGGCCUAUCAUAAUGCUUUACUCCACCCAACGAUGGCGUCACGCGUGAUCAGCUCAUAUUUUGAUACGGAUACGCCAUAAUUAAAUCAAUGUUUCCAAAAUCAUUUCUCAGUUGUCUCCCUUGCGAUACGCGGUGCUGAUGAUAGCCAAAACGCGAGAAAUACAUUCAUCUUCCCGCCGAAACAAGACACCUCCAGGCGACUGUUGGUGUUUUUCAAUAUAUAUUGCUUAAAGUAAGAAAUGUUCUCAACAGUGAAUAGUAGUGGAAACGACCUUUCCAAGUCCAUUAUCUCCCCAAACACCCAUAACACUGUUCCCGAGCGCCUCAUAGAAAAUUUCAACUUUACCUUUCACAGUUACCUAGUGACCCCACUCCCUAUCUCCCUCUUAUUUCUUCUCCUUCCUUCCUUCUCUCAACACGUCAAUAAUCUACAGUUAUCUGCAGGUAUAUAUAUUAAGGCGGCGAGGUGGCAGAAACGUUACCACGCCGGGCGAAAUGCUUAGCGGUAUUUCGUCUGCGUUACGUUGUGAGUUCAAAUUCCGCCGAGGUCGACUUUGCCUUUCAUCCUUUCGGGGUCGAUAAAUUAAGUACCAGUUACGCACUGGGGUCGAUGUAAUCGACUUAAUACCCAUGUCUGUCCUUGUUUGUCCCCUCUGGGUUUAGCCCCUUGUGGGUAGUAAAGAAAUAGGUAUUUCGUCUGCGUUACGUUGUGAGUUCAAAUUCCGCCGAAGUCGACUUUGCCUCUCAUCCUUUCGAGGUCGAUAAAUUAAGUACCAGUUACGCACUGGGGUCGAUGAAUUCGACUUAAUACCUAUGUCUGUCCUUGUUUGUCCUCUCUGUGUUUAGCCCCUUGUGGGUAAUAAAGAAAUAGGUAUUUCGUCUGCGUUACGUUGUGAGUUCAAAUUCCGCCGAAGUCGACUUUGCCUCUCAUCCUUUCGGGGUCGAUAAAUUAAGUACCAGUUACGCACUGGGGUCGAUGUAAUCGACUUAAUACCUAUGUCUGUCCUUGUUUGUCCUCUCUGUGUUUAGCCCCUUGUGGGUAAUAAAGAAAUAGGUAUUUCGUCUGCGUUACGUUGUGAGUUCAAAUUCCGCCGAAGUCGACUUUGCCUCUCAUCCUUUCGGGGUCGAUAAAUUAAGUACCAGUUACGCACUGGGGUCGAUGUAAUCGACUUAAUACCUAUGUCUGUCCUUGUUUGUCCCCUCUGUGUUUAGCCCCCUGGGGGUAAUAAAGAAAUAGGUAUAUAUAUUACCAUUACGUUUUGUACACAUAACUACAAUCUUCAGUUUAUCAACCUCUAUUUCAAUUUCACCGUUGUUUCCUUUACUUGUAUCGUUUCAUAUUUUAAUUCUUAUUUAAUUUUUUUUAUUGCUAUUAUAUUUCUGAUCGAUAUGAAAAUUAAUAACCUCACCAUUUCCCCCCAAAUAUUCAAAAAUUUUUCUGAGCGAUUCCUUCCUAAAACAAUAACCAGAAAUGAUCUUCUCACAGCCUACAUUACACGCUUUCUUCUUUCAAACGAUCGUCACGUUUCGAGUAGAUAAACACCCCCAAACAUCAUCACCUUUACUGCUGGGGAGCAACGGAUUUUGACCUCUGGCUAUGCUGCAAGAAGAAAACGAAGACUGAGUAGCCAUCACUUUGUACCAUCUUUUCCUAUUCUGAUUUACAUGUAUAUCUAACUAUCCAUCAAUCAAACAAUCUCUUUGCCUAUCCAUUUAACUACACAUACACACAUGCACUUAUAUAUAUAUAUAUAUAGAUACACACACACACACACACACACACACACACACUACACACACACACAUAUAUAUAUAUAUAUAUAUAUAUAUAUAUAUAUAUAUAUAUAUAUAUAUAUAUAUAUAUAUAUAUAUAUAUAAUAGAUAGAUAGAUAGAUAGAUAGAUAGAUAGAUAGAUAGAUAGAUAGAUAGAUAGAUAGAUAGAUAGAUAGAUAUUGAUAUAGAUAUAGAUAUAUGUGUAUACAUAUACGUACACACACACACACAUGCCUUCUUAGAUUUAAUCAUGAUUAUUGCGUAAGCCACACCCCACAUUCCUAUUCUUCUGUUGUUUUACUGUUGUAUCGUAUGACUGCAUCAAUCAUUGUUAUUUCUGCUCUCCUCAAAUCUUCUUUUGCUGGAUAUCUUACAAAUCUUCCGCCAUUCAGAGCUGUCUUACAUACGUGAUUCUAUUUCCCUUAAUUUUUAUUGAUUUCAAUGUUUUCGUGAAAACAUCAAUAUUUUAAGCUACCAAUAGGUUUUUAUCUUUUUUCUGCGUUCUGCUACAGUUUCUGAACAUUAUUCACACACACACACACACACACACACACACACACACACACACACAUAAAUAUAUAUAUAUAUAUAUAUAUAUGUAUAUUAUAUAUAUAUAUAUAUAUAUAUAUAUAUAUAUAUAUAUAUGUAUAUUAUAUAUAUAUAUAUAUAUAUAUAUAUAUAUAUAUAUAUAUACUAGCAGUAUCGCCCGGCGUUGUACGGGUUUGUAAGGGAAAUAACUAUAUAAGCAUUUUUAGAUAGUUAUAGCCAAAAAAUAGCAAAAAAUGCAUAAAAAAUGGAAAAAAUUGAUGGUAAUUUUUUUUAAAUCGUUGACUCAUCGUAGAUAUUUUUAGAGAGUUACUUCCCUUAUAUAAUAGUGAAACAAAUGCAUUAAAAUGGAAAAAAAAUGAUGGUAAUUUUUUUAAAUCGUAGACUCAUCGUAGACGCACGCUAAUACCCAGAAGGCUCGAUAUGAAUCACGACUAUAAGAUACCCGCUUUUGGUUAAACUGCACCGCAAAAUGUGGGAGUAGUUAGGAAUCUAAAUCGUAGGAUAUAGACACACAACUUGACUUUUAUAUAUAUAUAUAUAUAUAUAUAUAUAUAUAUAUACACUCAAAAUAAGCAACAAGGAUAUCCAAGGUAGAGUAGUACAAUUGUUUCAUUCUACUUAAUUUUAUUAAACACUGUAAGUAUUGCCCCAGUUUUUAAAUGUCGAGCAAUCUUCAGCCACAUGUAGUAUUUUCCAAUUAAACGGACAAUGCACAUUCUUAUCUCAUAUGCGUAUGUGUGUAUGUGUGUGUGUGUGUGAAUGUGUGUGUGUGUGUGUACAUAUAAUAAACACAUACAUAUAUAGAUACGCAUACACAGUUUAAAUUCCCUGCAUUCGAAAUGGAGAACAUAUCAGUAAUUAAAACAAAAAGCCAAAAAUUCCAGUUAAGAUGGAUUAAAAUACAGAAAAUGGCGAAGAAAUUAAGAUGUGUGUAGUAAACUGAUGUAAGAGGAAAUUAUAGAAUAACGACGGAGAUCCAUUAAUUAUAUGAAUGAUGUGUAAAUGUAGCGUAUAAUGAGUUUAUAAAUAGAGUGCAUGAGUAGAGUGGAGUUGCUUUCUGCUCUGUGUUGCAAAAUUUAGAAGACUGAAUUUUUAGACACUGCCGUGUAUCCAGCCUGUGUAUCAACAUCUUCUUACUCGUAUUUCAUAAUCAUCUACGCCUGCUUUUCCUUGAUCCUUUAGCUAAUUAGUUCCUUCUAAUGACUCUGAAAUUAAGUAUUGAUAAUUAUGAUAUCGCGUAUUUUAUAGAGGCAUCCGUUUCAUAUUUGUGAUGCUCAUAUAAAUUUUGCAUUAGUGUUUGUGUGUGUGUGUGUGAGUAUACACACACGCACACACACACACAAACGCACACACACACACACACACACAUAUAAAGUAUUAAUAAAAUAGAGAAAACUGAUACAGUAUUUAAUAUAAAACGAAGGCCAUAUCGGAGAGUUGGCCGACACGUUAGUACGCCGGGUGAAAUGCUCAGCGGUAUUCCGUCUGUCUUUAUGUUCUGAGUUCAAAUUCCAUCGAGGUCGACUUUGCCUUUCAUCUUUUCGAGGUCGAAAAACUAAGUACCAGUUGCGUGCUGGGUCGAUCUAAUCGACUUCCCCCGCCACUACCACCACCACCAAUUUCGGGCCUUGUUCCCAGAGUAGAUAAGAAUAUAAAAGGAAGACCAGUUUCGGCAAAUUUCCGUUAGGAUUACAUAAUUGUUGUUGACACAUUAUAAAAUCUUAUUCACACGCCUCAUCAAUGUUCAGCAAGAAACUGAAUUUUUAUAAACAUAUAAAAGGUGCAGGAGUGUGGUAAGUAGCUUGCUAACCAACCAUAUGGUUCCGGGUUCAGUCCCACUGCGUGGCAUCUUGGGCAAGUGUCUUCUGCUAUAGCCCCGAGCAGACCAAUGCCUUGUGAGUGGAUUUGGUAGACGGAAACUGAAAGAAGACUGUCGUAUAUAUAUAUAUAUAUAUAUAUAUAUAUGUAUGUGUGUGUGUGUGUUUGUGUGCCUGUGUUUGUCCCCCUAGCAUUGCUUGACAACCGAUGCUGGUGUGCUUACGUCCCCGUCACUUAGCGGUUCGGCAAAAAGCGACCGAUAGAAUAAGUACUGGGCUUACAAAGAAUAAGUCUCGGGGUCCAUUUGCUCGACUAAAGGCGGUGCUCCAUCAUGGCCGCAGUCAAAUGACUGAAACAAGUAAAAGAGUAAAAGAGUAUAUAUUCUUUUACAUUUAUAUAAACAACCCGCCCGCACACACACGCAGACAGUUUUCCCAUUGCUAUCAAUAGGAAUUCAGCAACGGCUGUUCCAAGUGCAUUUGGGUGAGUCAGCACAAUGACCCAGAAGAGAAACACUUUACUUUAUCUACCUGCAGAGAUAAACUAUUUGAUCUCCGUAAUAGAUGCAAUAAAGUGUUUCCCUGAUGACCCAAUGCAGUCAGGCUGGACAGGUGGCACGGCGAGCUGAUUUAGGUGUACUUACACCCUUUGUCUACAACGAGAAAUUUUCUCUACAACAAAACACCGUGAAUGGCUUGCUUACGAGUUCGAAUGCGCCACAAGGAUAUCUGAACUAGUAAUUACAUUGCGUUUAUACACAUCACAGAUUAGCGCCCCCACCCCAUAAAUGGUGACUGUAGAGGUGGAACUGUUAUAGGAAGAUGACAACGUUCGGAGGAGCAUCCUUAAAUAUCGGAUUUGCUGUAAAUAACAUAAAUACAAAGUAGUAAGCAUAGAUAUGUAUAUAACACAUCAAAUAUAAAAUGGGAAAGCUCGAGAUAUUUAGUUGCUCAAAUAUGGGAGUUUGCAAUUUAAUUCUUUUUUAAAUUGUACAUAAAUUCGUGAUGAAAAUACCUAUAUAUUUUGAAGAUACAAUCACAUAGCGUUUAUCUUACAUAAUUACUCAAAACGUAUGUACUAAAUUCAUGCAAACUAUCAACAUUUGUUCUGCGAUUAUUCUGAUAUUAUGCGAAUCAUAACAACCAUAGGAAGUGUUUGGUCGGUUAAUACAGAUGAAACGCAGCGACGAUAUAAGAUUGGAAUGUUAAACAAGACACUGAAUCGAAAAUUCCUGGUAAUUUAUAUUGUAUGAAAGCAUAAUACCGAAUACAUCUAGACAUAUACAUACACGUAAAUGGCGGAUUCGGCGAUACAAAGAGGAGUAAUAAAUUCAAUGUGAACUAAUGUCUUUCUCUCUCUCUUUCUCUGUAUAUAUACACACUCUCACGCAAACAUACACACACACACACAUACACACAAAUAGAUAGAUAUCGAUAUAUAUGUGCAAGUAUAUGCGUGUAUAUAUAUAUAUAUAUAUAUAUAUAUAUAUAUAUAUCAUCAUCAUAGUUUAGCGUCCGCUUUCCAUGCUAACAUGGGUUGGACGGUUCAACUGGGGUCUGGGAAGCCAGAAGGCCGCACCAGGCCCAGUCUGAUCUGGCAGUGUUUCUACGGCUGGAUGCCCUUCCUAACGCCAACCACUCCGUGAGUGGCAUGCACGUAUACACACCAUGCACGUAUACACAAAUAUGUGCGUACACACACAUGCACGUAUACACAAAUAUGUGCGUGUAUGUAUGUAUGUAUAUAUUUAAAGACCUACAACACAUAAUUAGAAAUAUAUUCAUUGAUGUUAAUCCUAUUUAUGUUGAUCUUUAAUAUCCUUUACUUCCAACAACUAUUA
rnacentral:lncRNA from 1 species